GAAACGACUCUCGGCAACGGAUAUCUCGGCUCUUGUUUCGAUGAAGAACGUAGCGAAAUGCGAUACUUAGUGUGAAUUGCAGAAUCCCGUGAAUCAUCGAGUUUUUGAACGCAAUUUGCGCCCGAGGCCUCGGUCGAGGGCACGUCUGUCUGGGCGUCGCAU
rnacentral:rRNA from 1 species